GAGUUUGAUCCUGGCUCAGGACGAACGCUGGCGGCGCGCCUAACACAUGCAAGUCGAACGAGAGAUGAGGAGCUUGCUCUUCAAAUCGAGUGGCGAACGGGUGAGUAACGCGUGAGGAACCUGCCUCAAAGAGGGGGACAACAGUUGGAAACGACUGCUAAUACCGCAUAAGCCCACGGCUCGGCAUCGAGCAGAGGGAAAAGGAGUGAUCCGCUUUGAGAUGGCCUCGCGUCCGAUUAGCUAGUUGGUGAGGUAAUAGCCCACCAAGGCGACGAUCGGUAGCCGGACUGAGAGGUUGAACGGCCAUAUUGGGACUGAGACACGGCCCAGACUCCUACGGGAGGCAGCAGUGGGGAAUAUUGGGCAAUGGGCGAAAGCCUGACCCAGCAACGCCGCGUGAAGGAAGAAGGUCUUCGGAUUGUAAACUUCUUUUAUCAGGGACGAAGUAAGUGACGGUACCUGAUGAAUAAGCCACGGCUAACUACGUGCCAGCAGCCGCGGUAAUUC
rnacentral:rRNA from 1 species